AAGGGAUUAGUCUAAAACAAGACAACUAGUUUCGACCUAGUAAAUUAUGAUUAACCCAUAACCCCUUU
rnacentral:tRNA from 1 species